UCAUAUCUCUUUUAUGAUACUUGCUAUAAAAUGAGAAAAAAAACAGGGGGAGCUUUUAUAUGGGCAAUUAGGUAAUCUCAUGAUGUCGUGUUUUUAUCCACAUUGACACGAUCUCAGAAGAGUUUUUUAAUGGCCAUCGCGAAUGUGUCAUUUGGAUUAAAAAAAUAGACAUAGAAAGUAAGAGAGAGAGAGAGAGAGAAUAUGCUUGUCGUAGUCGAUCGAUGACGUGCCUCUUUGCUAAGUUUACAAUAGAAAAGAAAAAAGAAAUCAAUAGGCCAAUGUCGUACCGCAUAAUCAACUUUUAUGCAAAGUAAAAGAGAAAAAGAAGAUUCUUGUUUGUUAUUAUUAUUAAUGUCAAGUGUAAAAUUUAUCAUUUUCGUAAUCCAUUUUAUUCUUACAGAUAGAUUAUAAAUUAAAAAUAUUGAAAGAAAGAAGAGAAAGAAAUAAAACGGCCAGAAAUGUACGAAGUUUAAACGCUUUAUAUCAGAAAAAGAAAAGAAAGAAGGUCUUACCUCGUUGAAAAAAACUAAUUCCUGUACGAUCAUUAAAAUUAAGCAACGAUAAGCACGAUCAGUAUUCGGAUAGGUGACUGCUCGGAAACAUCAUUUACUAUUGACUCCAGAGAGAUGAUAAGACGGUUUCUAUGGAAAGGUGAGGGGGCUGUUUUUAGAAGUAUACACACACAAACGUAAAAACAACAAGUGUGGCAGCUUUACUAUCGCAGAAAUAUUUGAUAUUUAUUUCUCCAUACUUCUAUAUACUUCUCUAUACUGGAAAGGCUAUUUUUUAUGACGGUUUACGUGAUACAGGAUUUGCAGAGUGACCCAGAUUCCUAAGAAGAUAUUUGAAUUACGACUAGUUGGACGAAUUGUGCUUUAUCAUUUGUCUCCUGUUGUCUCUUUUUUUUUUCUUCCAUGUGCUUCUUUCUAACUCUUUUGAUAUAGAAGAUACAAGUAUACAUCGGAAGCAAUGCCGUACGAUUUUGCUUUUCGCUAAAAGUUCGAGAAGAUCCGUUUGAGAUGGCUUCGUAGAAGAAUCCCUUUGUACGAAAGGCGAACUCCGAUGAUUUAUCAAACAUAAAAGAGCGUGAAACUUGUAUACAUGAUUCGGAUAUUUCUAUCGAACACAACUGUUUGUAGAUAUGUGUGUAUGUUUUGAGCAUGGGAAUGCUAUACUAUGCAAUGUAUAAUAAUCGUUUCAUAUACUCUCGGCUCUUUUGAACAUUAAAGCCUACA